CUUAAGUGGGGAAUAACGCAUCGAAAGGUGUGCUAAUACCGCAUAAUCUCUGAGGAGAAAAGCAGGGGAUCGCAAGGCCUUGCGCUUUUGGAGCGGCCGAUGUCUGAUUAGCUUGUUGGUGAGGUAAAAGCUUACCAAGGCUUCGAUCAGUAGCUGGUCUGAGAGGACGACCAGCCACACUGGGACUGAGACACGGCCCAGACUCCUACGGGAGGCAGCAGUGGGGAAUUUUGGACAAUGGGGGCAACCCUGAUCCAGCCAUGCCGCGUGAGUGAAGAAGGCCUUCGGGUUGUAAAGCUCUUUCAGCCGGAACGAAACGGUUACGGUUAAUACCCGUGACUACUGACGGUACCGGAAGAAGAAGCACCGGCUAACUACGUGCCAGCAGCCGCGGUAAUACGUAGGGUGCGAGCGUUAAUCGGAAUUACUGGGCGUAAAGCGUGCGCAGGUGGUUUUGUAAGUCAGAUGUGAAAUCCCCGGGCUCAACCUGGGAACUGCGUUUGAAACUACAAGGCUAGAGUGUGGCAGAGGGGGGUGGAAUUCCGCGUGUAGCAGUGAAAUGCGUAGAGAUGUGGAGGAACACCGAUGGCGAAGGCAGCCCCCUGGGUCAACACCGACGCUCAGGCACGAAAGCAUGGGGAGCAAACAGGAUUAGAUACCCUGGUAGUCCAUGCCCUAAACGAUGUCAACUAGUUGUCGGGCCUUAACGGGCUUGGUAACGUAGCUAACGCGUGAAGUUGACCGCCUGGGGAGUACGACCGCAAGAUUAAAACUCAAAGGAAUUGACGGGGACCCGCACAAGCGGUGGAUUAUGUGGAUUAAUUCGAUGCAACGCGAAAAACCUUACCUACCCUUGACAUGUAUCGAAGCCCGCAGAAAAGCGGGUGUGCCCGAAAGGGAACGAUAACACAGGUGCUGCAUGGCUGUCGUCAGCUCGUGUCGUGAGAUGUUGGGUUAAGUCCCGCGACGAGCGCAACCCUUGUCAUUAAUUGCCAUCAUUUAGUUGGGCACUUUAAUGAGACUGCCGGUGACAAACCGGAGGAAGGUGGGGAUGACGUCAAGUCCUCAUGGCCCUUAUGGGUAGGGCUUCACACGUAA
rnacentral:rRNA from 1 species